rnacentral:rRNA from 1 species
UACGGGGGGGGCAAGCGUUGUUCGGAAUUACUGGGCGUAAAGGGCUCGUAGGCGGCCAACUAAGUCGGACGUGAAAUCCCCAGGCUCAACCUGGGAACUGCGUCCGAUACUGGAUGGCUUGAAUCCGGGAGAGGGAUGCAGAAUUCCAGGUGUAGCGGUGAAAUGCGUAGAUAUCUGGAGGAACACCGGUGGCGAAGGCGGCAUCCUGGACCGGCAUUGACGCUGAGGCGCGAAAAGCUAGGGUAGCAAACGGG